UCCUUUUGUAUUUUUAUUUAAGGUCUAACCUGCCCACUGAUUUAUUUAAUGGCCGCGGUAUUUUGACCGUGCAAAGGUAGCAUAAUAAUUUGUCUUUUAAUUGAAGGCUUGUAUGAAUGGUUGGACGAGAAAAUUACUUUCUUUAUAAUAAAAAAAUUAAUUUUAUUUUUUAGUUAAAAAGCUAAAAUUUUGUUGUAGGACGAGAAGACCCUAUAGAACUUUAUAUUCAUUAUUAUAUUAAUAUUUUUGGUUAAUUUUUUAUUAUAUUUUUAUGAAUAUUUUGUUGGGGCGACAAGAAAAUUUAUUUAACUUUUCUUUAUUAAUUUCAUUAAUUAAUGUAUAAAUGAUCCUUUAUUAUGGAUAAUAAGAAUAAGUUACCUUAGGGAUAACAGCGUAAUUUUUUUGGAGAGUUCUUAUCGAUAAAAAAGUUUGCGA
rnacentral:rRNA from 1 species